UACGAAGGGUGCAAGCGUUAAUCGGAAUUACUGGGCGUAAAGCGUGCGUAGGUGGUCUUUUAAGUCCGAUGUGAAAGCCCUGGGCUCAACCUGGGAAUGGCACUGGAUACUGGAAGGCUAGAGUGCGGUAGAGGAGGGUGGAAUUCCGCGUGUAGCAGUGAAAUGCGUAGAUAUGCGGAGGAACACCGAUGGCGAAGGCAAUCCCCUGGACCUGUACUGACGCUCAUGCACGAAAGCGUGGGGAGCAAACAGG
rnacentral:rRNA from 1 species